rnacentral:rRNA from 1 species
UACGGAGGGUGCAAGCGUUAUCCGGAUUCACUGGGUUUAAAGGGUGCGUAGGUGGAUCAAUAAGUCAGUGGUGAAAGCCCCGAGCUCAACUUGGGAAUUGCCAUUGAUACUGUAGAUCUUGAGUGCGGUUGAGGUAGGCGGAAUGUUACAUGUAGCGGUGAAAUGCUUAGAUAUGUAACAGAACACCAAUUGCGAGGGCAGCUUACCAAGCCGAUACUGACACUGAGGCACGAAAGCGUGGGGAUCAAACAGG